rnacentral:rRNA from 1 species
CCUACGGGCGGCAGCAGUGAGGAAUAUUGGUCAAUGGACGGAAGUCUGAACCAGCCAUGCCGCGUGCAGGAAGACGGUUCUAUGAGUUGUAAACCUCUUUUGUCAGAGGGCAAACGCAGACACGUGUAUCUGUCUGCAAGUACCUUACGAAUAAGCAUCGGCUAACUCCGUGCCAGCAGCCGCGGUAAUACGGAGGAUUCAAGCGUUAUCCGGAUUUAUUGGGUUUAAAGGGUGCGUAGGCGGUCAGGUAAGUUCGGGGUGAAAUUCCGGGGCUCAACACCCGCAUUGCCUCUGAUACUGGUCGUCUAGAGAGUGGUAGAGGUAGGCGGAAUGUGUGGUGUAGCGGUGAAAUGCUUAGAGAUCAUGCAGAACGCCGAUUGCGAAGGCAGCAUACCGGGGUACUUCUGACGUUGAGGCACGAAAGCGUGGGUAGCGAACAGGAUUAGAUACCCUUGUAGUC